AACGAAGGCAACCGCUCUUCUGUAAAUCGGCAGAUUUAGUUCUUAGUUGUUAGUUCAGUUAUGAACGGUCUAAUACUUAGGAGAAACAACCGAGAAAAAUAUUUCGUCGUCGAGGAUGCAUAUCGACGAGGUUUAGCCGUGGGUAACGACCGCUAUCGGUAAUAUAAUAAUAUGCCAGCGCCAUUCGGAUCCUCCCAGAAGGCAUCCAGCCUUGUUUUUCCCAGCUGAUUCACAGAUGUUAGACAAUGACAACACAAUAUUUAAUAGACAAGUAACGGCCGACGACGAGGAUAACUGAUCGAAAAGAUAUUUAUCUUAUCUAAGAUGAAAAUUAUGGGACGUUUACCAAAGUUAUUCAUAACUCAUUAGAGUGCGAAUGCGAUUACGGUUAUAAAUAUUUCUAAC